rnacentral:rRNA from 1 species
UCCUGGCUUAGGAUGAACGCUAGCUACAGGCUUAACACAUGCAAGUCGAGGGGUAGCAGGGUAGCAAUACCGCUGACGACCGGCGCACGGGUGAGUAACACGUAUCCAACCUUCCCAUAACUCAGGGAUAGCCUUUCGAAAGAAAGAUUAAUACCUGAUAGUACUUUUUCAAGGCAUCUUGAGAAAGUUAAAGAUUUAUUGGUUAUGGAUGGGGAUGCGUUCCAUUAGAUAGUUGGUGAGGUAACGGCUCACCAAGUCUUCGAUGGAUAGGGGUUCUGAGAGGAAGGUCCCCCACAUUGGUACUGAGACACGGACCAAACUCCUACGGGAGGCAGCAGUGAGGAAUAUUGGUCAAUGGGCGAGAGCCUGAACCAGCCAAGUAGCGUGAAAAGGAAGAAGGAUCUAUGGUUCGUAAACUUCUUUUGCAGGGGAAUAAAGUGCAGGACGUGUCCUGUUUUGUAUGUACCCUGAGAAUAAGGAUCGGCUAACUCCGUGCCAGCAGCGGC